GGGGGAUUAGCUCAGCUGGGAGAGCGCAUCGCUGGCAGCGAUGAGGUCAGGGGUUCGAGCCCCCUAUUCUCCA
rnacentral:tRNA from 4 species